UGUGUGUGUGUGUUUGAAAAAGAAAGGAGAGUGACAAAAGAAAAAAUAAAAAAAAAUAAACAGCCAAAAUCUGUGUCAUUUAGUAGACUGUCUGUCAGAUUUGAUUGUUUUAAAGAGUCUAGUGCUAGAGAUCACAACCUAAGGACAUUAUUG